rnacentral:lncRNA from 1 species
AGAUAUUACAUAGCUCAUAGAAUCUACCUAGGAGAAGGCCGGACAGCCCAAUGCUGAAGCUACAGAGACAGCACAGCCUCAGCUACAGAAUGGGGCGAGCCUUGGUACCUGAGCCCUUUCAGCCACUUUCUCUGAUUCUCAGGACAGAGCCUGCAGGAGAUGGAUGGCCUGGCCCGUGGCCACAGGGCCAUGCUGUUUCCUCUGAGGCUGCUGCAAGGCAAACCAGAUCUCAUGGCGGUAUCCUAGUUGUAGGUGAUCCAGAGAGUGCAAAAUGUUUGGCAUUUACCUUGAGGAAGUGGGAACUUACAAAAUAGGGGAAGUUAACAAAACACAAGGAGGCGGGGGUGUCACAAGAUUUGAGUGGGUGGAUACAGGUUAUAGCCGCUCAAGUUUUCCUCUUGGCUUCCUUCUUCUAUAAACUUUCAACCAAUAACGACAAGCUUUUUGCCUGACAACACAGAUUCUUUCCCCCCCACCCCCCCGGCUACAGAGGAAAUGUCCCAGCAUCUCCGCUAAGAACCCAAAGUCCAAACCCAAGGUUUCUGAGUAAUGUUUAUUCCUCCCUUUAGUUCAUUUGCAGCCAAUGUUGGUUAACUUAUUGAUUCAUUGAUGAAGCUAGCUAUUGCCAACAUACCUUGAAUAAAAAGCCAAAAAACUUAAUUAAUGUAAAACCACUGAUGCAGGUUACUGGGCAAGGCCAAUGGGAGAAAACCACAUCUUUCUGGACCCCACAUUGGUAAGCCCCAUCUUUAAGGGAUAAAAACCCCUAUAAGACAAUAGAGGGGGGGGACUCUUCUUCCCCCUCCCAGCUGUCCUGGGAGCUGUUUGCCCAGACUUUGCUUACUUGCAAAAAAAUAAUAAUAAUAAUGUAUAACCAUAUAUGUGAUGCAGCAAGGAAGACAGUUUAGGAAGAUGCUGCCAUUCUAACUUCUGUAGUUAGUUACUUCAAAGAAAUGGUUGGUAUUAAAUCUCAUCUCCUCUUAUAUUUAUUUCAUAUUCCCUUUUUCUUUUUUGGAAUUAUCAGACUAGGACUUUAUUUAUAAUUUUUUUUGUCUUUUUAGGGCUAUACCCACAGCAUAUGGAGGUUCCCAGGCUCGGGGUCCAAUCAGAGCCACAGCUGUGGGCCUAUACCACAGCCACAGCAACGCUGGAUCUGAGCUGCAUCUGCGACCUCCACCACAACUCAUGGCAACGCAGGAUCCUUAACCCACUGAGCAAGGCCAGGGAUCAAACCCACAUCCUCAUGGAUACUAGUUGGGUUCAUUAAACACUGAGCCACAAUGGGAACUCCUCAUAUUCUCUUUGUCUUUAGCCAGUAACUCAACUGAUCAGUAUUUUUCACCUGGCAGGGUGUCCCAAACCUUCCUUCCUAAGGGAUUGGAGCCAUCAGUGGCCCUGCGUUUCUGAGGUUGCCAUGGUUUUUAUUAACUUUUACCACUGGAUAUUCUCUGCUAGGUAGAACCCAUUAUUGCUGGUAUGUUACCAUGUAGCUUGUUGCUCCUUUUGUGCCAUCGUGAGCCAGUAUUUCAUCACCCCCUCUUGGUCUGUUUGUCUAAUAGCAUUAAAGAGUCUGAAAUAGUUAUGUGACACUUUGAACUUUCAGCCUGAUUCAUGCUGUCCUCUUGUUCUUUUUUUGAGUCCUAAAGAAGCAGAGUCAGAGGGUGGAAAGCAAGCUUUUUGCUGAGGUGGUCGCUUCCCACUUCCCCUCCCUGGUUCCAGGAACCAUGUAUCCUGGCCAAAGGAAGGCCACCUGUCAGAGCACGUAACACAUCUUUUCAGAUGUUACCCCAGUUCCACAAGCUCUCCUGCCUUGCAGUUUGUAUCCUAACUGAAUUUUCAGUUGACCUUCCCACUGUUGUAUAAGGCUUGCUGCAUUUGAGCCUUGCUUGAUUGCUUGGUAGGACCAUCACAUUUUUUGAACCCACAGCCUUGUUUUGCAAGACGUGUUUCGGGCUCAGAAGCCCUGUGGUGAUGAUGGCAAAUGCGGUCUUCAGUAAGGCCGUGAGUGGUGUGACUGGCAGAAAGAUGGCAGACAUAGAAGAUACAUACAAAUCUGGAGUAAAAGUCCACUCCAAUGAAGAUAAGUUAUCCCCUCCUCUGUGAUGAAAGAGGCCUAAUGUAAUCUACCCAUCAUUGCUGGCCCAUCUCCCUGUGAUGUGAGAGUUCUUGGGGAGGUUCAGAGUCAUUGAGCAUUUGGCAGGGGUUCAGCCUUGGUGCAGUUAAGUCCCUGUUGUUGGGCCCAGGCAUAAUAUUCAUCCUUGCUACCCUGGCCACCUGCUCAUGAGCCCUUUGAGCAGGUUCUCUGGCUGCCAGGGAAAGAGACUGGUCAGUAUAGAAGGGGUAGGUCAUCUUGCCCCACGUAUUAUAAGCACUUCUUAAUAAGGCCUUUCCAAGAACAUUCACACCAAAUACAAAUAUUGUCACACUCUGUGUAACUUUUCCCCAAGUGUCUUUGUCACCAGUUCUUUUGAGUUUCCACCAGUGAAUGAAUAUUCAGCUCUCAGUCUCUCUCUCUCCUUAAAGGGCAGUAGACCCAAAAUAUACUAGUCAGCAUUCUGCCCCCUGAACAGAAUUGACUGCUUGACCCUCAGGUUGUCUCAUUUCAUUCAUUUACAUCUAGCCCAUACCUUCCUAUUGGGCAGAGCCAUUGAUUAAUCAGGCACACAGUUUCAUCUGCUAGUAAACUGGUCACUCAAGUUGUCACCCUUUCAGGUCGUUUGUAUAAGUCAGAGAAACACACCCAUAUACCCACUCGUGUUUGUGCUAAUUUCUUAGUGGUAAGGGAUACAGGAUACAGAAACUUGACUUUCCUUUUAGAUGAGCUCUUUCAAGUGCCCCGGAUUGCUGGAUGUUCAGAAACUAUUUUCAUAGGAUUCAUCUGUCACUAUCUGGCACGGCUGUGUCUUAGAAUGACAUCUAGAAUACAUGCCACCUUCUGCUCUAUAAGCCCUACCAUUAUGUGGUCACUGUUGUAGACCAGAAUAAUAUCCUGAGAUAGUGAGAUAAUGAAGGUCUUUGUGGCCUGAUAGUGCCACUGAAGCAGAAUGUUUAGAGAACAUGAGGCAAAAAGUUGUGUGGCUGUCCUGCUGUAGAUGGACACCUCUGCUCUCUGCUCACUGCGAUGGAAACACUGGAUUUUUCCAGCUCUGUAUCGCGGAUGCCGCAAUAGAGAGACCAUCUCCAGAAGAACUAAACGUACAUUAUUCCAGUGUCAUUUGCCAAGACAUACUUGGCUUCUGCUUAGGCCAGAGCGGUGAGUUAAAUAAGGAAGAUUCUGGGAGUUCUCAUCGUGGCUCAGCAGUAACAAACUGGACUUCUAUCUAUGAGGACGUGGGUUUGAUCUCUGGCCCCAAUCAUUGGGCUACGGAUCCAGUGUUGCCAUGAGCUGUGGUGUAGGUCGCAGACACAUCUUGGAUCCUGCGUUGCUGUGGCUGUUGCAUAGACCUGCACCUGCAGCUCCAAUUGGACCCCUAGCCUGGGAACUUCCAUAUGCUACAAGUUUGGCCCUAAAAAGACAAAAAAAAAAAAAAAAAAAAAA